rnacentral:misc_RNA from 1 species
GAUGAAGAACGUAGCGAAAUGCGAUAAGUAAUGAGAAUUGCAGAAUUCAGUGAAUCAUCGAAUCUUUGAACGCACAUUGCGCCCGCCAGUAUUCUGGCGGGCAUGCCUGUUCGAGCGUCAUUACAACCCUCAGGCCCCCGGGCCUGGCGUUGGGGAUCGGCGGAGCCCCCCGUGGGCACACGCCGUCCCCCAAAUGCAGUGGCGGUCCCGCCGCAGCUUCCAUCGCGUAGUAGCUAACACCUCGCGACUGGAGAGCGGCGCGGCCACGCCGUAAAACACCCAACUCUUCUGAAGUUGACCUCGAAUCAGGUAGGAAUACCCGCUGAACUUAAGCAUAUCAAUAAGCGGAGGA